rnacentral:lncRNA from 1 species
AUGAGUGUGGUGGCACCAAGGCCUCGCUUUGCCCUUCUGCGAGGCACUGAGGACACGGCAGGCAGCAGGGACAGAUCCUGCCUGAGAGGAGGCGUGCCCAGAGGUGCCUCAGGGAUGGACCCGACCCGCACAGCAGCGGCCACAAGGGGUGCAGUCAGUAGUUGGUCUGAUGAGGGAUGCUUCACACGGGCUGUGAAGGCCAGCGGGACAAACAGCUUCCAGCCAAGGAGAUCUCAUCAUUCUGUACUGCAGUGGAUGACACAGCCUCGGGUGCUACAAAACAUCACAAAGCUGCAAAACCACUGGACUAAGACAGUGAAGUUUUCUGCUCAUAAGAGAGCCUCAGGAGAUGGAACAUCUUGUAAAAUGGAGAUAACUGUUUUGGUUUGUUUACCUCUACUGGGAGGUAACAGGGUUGGGAGGCUCAGCAGGAGCAGCAGACACCAACCCCCUUCCUCCCUGGAAACCGCCAUGAAAGGGAAAUAAUCUUGAUCCCCAGUUUGAGUGACUGCAUCAUGUAAAAUGCCUGGAAAUUGCUGGCCAAGCAACAACAGAAAGGUAGCAUAGAAGCAUUUCUGCUGUUCACUCAGAGCUGCACCCUGUGAGCUCGCCUGCUUUUUCAAGAAGCAGAGACAGCUCUGUGUGAUGCCAGGGAGUUUACCCAGACAUUUCCAUAAGAACAGAGACAGUUGGACUAGCAAUUGUAUGCUCAAUAUUUAUAUUCCAGUAAGAGAUGAGGAGAGAGCGAGAGCCGAGCAGUGCUCCCCAUCCCUGCCCCUUCCUGUAUCCUGAGCUUCCAUAUAGUAGUGCCUGUUUAUUUGACACAAUCCAGAAAAUGUAAACAUUUAGUUUAAAAUUAGAUAGAAAACCUCUAGGGGAUCAAUGACAUAGAAACAUCGUAGAUGGUUGGGCUUACGAGGUGUGUUCCCUGAGUGAAGGAGGCAUGGAGAUGAAUGCAGUGGCUUGUUUUUCACCAAGUGUAUAUGAAUAAUGUGAUGAAGUGAUAUGAGCAUGAUGUGCCACUUGCUAGUAGUCUGUAGAGACUGCACACUCUGGUAUGCCUUGAAACCAGUUAUUUUCAUUUAAGGGGUGUGUUGGAUGCUGGAUUACGUGGUCUACAAAGGCUCUACUUUCAUAUUGUGGUGGCUCAGCCCCAGCUAACAGCCAAACUCCCAUCCAGCUGUUUG